rnacentral:rRNA from 1 species
AUCUGCCUAGUGGUGGGGGAUAACGUUCGGAAACGGACGCUAAUACCGCAUACGUCCUACGGGAGAAAGCGGGGGAUCUUCGGACCUCGCGCCAUUAGAUGAGCCUAGGUCGGAUUAGCUAGUUGGUGAGGUAAUGGCUCACCAAGGCGACGAUCCGUAACUGGUCUGAGAGGAUGAUCAGUCACACUGGAACUGAGACACGGUCCAGACUCCUACGGGAGGCUGCAGUGGGGAAUAUUGGACAAUGGGCGAAAGCCUGAUCCAGCCAUGCCGCGUGUGUGAAGAAGGUCUUCGGAUUGUAAAGCACUUUAAGUUGGGAGGAAGGGUAGUAACCUAAUACGUUGCUACUUUGACGUUACCGACAGAAUAAGCACCGGCUA